UACGUAGGGAGCAAGCGUUGUCCGGAAUCAUUGGGCGUAAAGGGCGCGUAGGCGGCCUGUUAAGUCAAGUGUGAAAAUCAACGGCUCAACCGUUGAACUGCGCUUGAAACUGGCGGGCUAGAGAUCAGGAGAGGAAAGUGGAAUUCCUAGUGUAGCGGUGAAAUGCGUAGAUAUUAGGAAGAACAUCUAUGGCGAAGGAAGCUUUCUGGACUGACAUUGACGUUGAGGCGCGAAAGCGUGGGGAGCAAACAGG
rnacentral:rRNA from 1 species